rnacentral:sRNA from 1 species
UGCAUCUGCGGCCAGUGAGGAUGAGAAUCUCCGGGGGCAGGAGGUUCGACUCGAGCGAAGCGAGAGAACGUUGCGUCAGCAACGGCCCGCAGGGCGAGCC